rnacentral:rRNA from 1 species
UGCCUCAAAGAGGGGGACAACAGUUGGAAACGACUGCUAAUACCGCAUAAGCCCACGGCUCGGCAUCGAGCAGAGGGAAAAGGAGCAAUCCGCUUUGAGAUGGCCUCGCGUCCGAUUAGCUAGUUGGUGAGGUAAUGGCCCACCAAGGCGACGAUCGGUAGCCGGACUGAGAGGUUGAACGGCCACAUUGGGACUGAGACACGGCCCAGACUCCUACGGGAGGCAGCAGUGGGGAAUAUUGCACAAUGGGGGAAACCCUGAUGCAGCGACGCCGCGUGGAGGAAGAAGGUCUUCGGAUUGUAAACUCCUGUUGUUGGGGAAGAUAAUGACGGUACCCAACAAGGAAGUGACGGCUAACUACGUGCCAGCAGCCGCGGUAAAACGUAGGUCACAAGCGUUGUCCGGAAUUACUGGGUGUAAAGGGAGCGCAGGCGGGAAGACAAGUUGGAAGUGAAAUCUAUGGGCUCAACCCAUAAACUGCUUUCAAAACUGUUUUUCUUGAGUAGUGCAGAGGUAGGCGGAAUUCCCGGUGUAGCGGUGGAAUGCGUAGAUAUCGGGAGGAACACCAGUGGCGAAGGCGGCCUACUGGGCACCAACUGACGCUGAGGCUCGAAAGUGUGGGUAGCAAACAGGAUUAGAUACCCUGGUAGUCCACACCGUAAACGAUGAUUACUAGGUGUUGGAGGAUUGACCCCUUCAGUGCCGCAG